AUCCAGCUGACAUGUCCCAAAUAGGAUGAAACGCGUGUCCUAUAU
rnacentral:hammerhead_ribozyme from 1 species